UCCCACUUGACGUAGUGGUUUAACGUCUGGCUGGCUUUUACAGUCAGAAUAGUAGGUUCGAAUCCUAUAGUAGGCA
rnacentral:tRNA from 1 species